rnacentral:misc_RNA from 1 species
GUCAUGCAAAUGGCGACCAUUGUUGUGCAUUUCAAUUUAGAAUAUUUACCUAAAUAUGCUGAGUUUGUUGGAGUGGGAUUGGACUUGUACUUACUGUCUUUUCGUUUUAUUUAUUAGAAAAUAGUAAUAUAGAGUUUCCUCAAUGUUUUUGUUAGUCAAGCACAGAUUUCAGCUUUUGCUUCUUUCUAAGUGUUAAAAAAUCAUUCCUUCCUGAAGCCUGAACUGAAUCUUUUGAUAGCACAAAUUGAAAGAACUCUUCCGCUUGAUCCUAAACCAAAGACGUGUACUUCACUGUGAUCGGACUCUGUUGCCUUGACUGCAAGAUACUUGAUGAAUCCCUACCUGCUGUAAGCAUCCUGGCUUCAUGGAAACCGGUUCAUCUUCUAAGAUGAAGAAUUUUCACGAUUGUGGAAUCCUCGAGUCGUCAAACAUUGCAUGAAGCUCAGAGUUGUGUAUAUCUCUCUUGCUGCAAUGUCUCUUGCAGAUGGAUUGGAUUACCACUCCUGUAGAUGCGAUGUCUAUAGCUUCAUGAGCAGGGGGUGUUGGUGUGCCAACCCAUCAGGAAGAUCAGAAUUAUCUUCUUCUCCCUUAAGGAAAUGUGUCUAACUCUAAAAUGUGUGCGCCAGGUGGCCAUGAAGUACAGAGGUACGUGGGCGGAGACAUUCCGAUUUCAUGACAGUGUCUUCUUGUUUCGGGAAUAUUGUCGGACUUCAUUGCUAGAAACUACCGGAUGCUACUCACUUCGUCAGGUAAACUAGCCUAUAAUUCUCUUGGCCAAAAUAUCCGACGUGGCAUGACUUUGGUCCAGAUUGCCGAAAUGUUAGAUUUUGCUGCCUAUAUAGGCUCUACGAAUUUUGUUUGUUUGAUCAGAGUAAGUUGUCUUCUGAUAGCUCAUCUCAUCCUGUGCCAUAUCAUGUCACAGCAAAAACUGCCAGUGAAGUAAAAGCAAGUGUGGACCUGUGGUUUUAUAUGAUAAUACACUAAAAUUAUCAUCGUCGCCAUUUUGAUUUUUUACUGUGAACCACUUUAAACGCUUGCGUACGGCGAUCAUACGUAUCCCGUAGGUAAUGAUAACUGGAUUAAUAUGAAACUCACCAGACCGACCUGAAUUCUCCACCUUUAAGUAUUGACAACAUUCAAACCACUGCGCUGGAUAGCUUAAUUCGGUAGUAACAGAAUUCUCACGUUCAGUUCACCCGGUGGAAAGGAUGGUAUCCAACAAGUCAAUUAAUCUCAACUAUCUGUAAAGCUUGUUCCAUCAACCUCUGCUGUGUCUACGCAGACUGGCAAUCCGACAUGCAAAGCAUUCUGCCUCCCAGUAUGAAGCGCACAACAGACUUCCAACAGCAGAUAAAAGUAGAGGUGUACUGCCCAUUUUAAAUCUUGGUUCUACUUAGUUUCUACAGCUAUUUUUCAGCAAAGAAAUCACUAACCACGAAGCGGUUUGAGUUUUUCGUCUGUAUUGGUCAUUCCAUUGUAUUUGUUAGAUGUGCUAUCAGAUCGAGAAUGUAGAGAACUUGUUUAGAAUGCAACCCAGCUAAGAGUUAGAGUUUCAGUGACAUGGAGAGUAUGAAGUGAAUAAUCUGCAAUGUGUAUGAACAUAGAUCUGUACAUGACACAUGAGUACAGAUAUAUAAUAGGAAACAAUUUUAUUUUUUAAAUCCAUAUAGCCAAUAAUCAUUCUAUUCUUUCCUACAGAUGUGCAAUCACGAAUGUUAUGAAUUUCAUUUUGGGGUCAAUGGAGUUGGUGCUGGUUGCCGUUACUGGCCUUUUGCAACGUCCAGACAGGAUGUCCUUCUCGCUUGAAGGUCACGAGAAACAUUCCGUAAAACUGGCAUGCGGUGGUGUAGAGGUUGGGUGAGAAUGACACGUGUUUCAUCACUAUCA